AUUGAACGCUGGCGGCAGGCUUAACACAUGCAAGUCGAGCGGAGAGAGGUAGCUUGCUACUGAUCUUAGCGGCGGACGGGUGAGUAAUGCUUAGGAAUCUGCCUAUUAGUGGGGGACAACAUUUCGAAAGGAAUGCUAAUGCCGCAUACGUCCUACGGGAGAAAGCAGGGGAUCUUCGGACCUUGCGCUAAUAGAUGAGCCUAAGUCGGAUUAGCUAGUUGGUGGGGUAAAGGCCUACCAAGGCGACGAUCUGUAGCGGGUCUGAGAGGAUGAGCCGCCACACUGGGACUGAGACACGGCCCAGACUCCUACGGGAGGCAGCAGUGGGGAAUAUUGGACAAUGGGCGGAAGCCUGAUCCAGCCAUGCCGCGUGUGUGAAGAAGGCCUUAUGGUUGUAAAGCACUUUAAGCGAGGAGGAGGCUACUUUAGUUAAUACCUAGAGAUAGUGGACGUUACUCGCAGAAUAAGCACCGGCUAACUCUGUGCCAGCCGCCGCCGUAAAAC
rnacentral:rRNA from 1 species